rnacentral:rRNA from 1 species
GUGGGGAAUCUUGCGCAAUGGGCGAAAGCCUGACGCAGCCAUGCCGCGUGAAUGAUGAAGGUCUUAGGAUUGUAAAAUUCUUUCACCGGGGACGAUAAUGACGGUACCCGGAGAAGAAGCUCCGGCUAACUUCGUGCCAGCAGCCGCGGUAAUACGAAGGGGGCUAGCGUUGCUCGGAAUUACUGGGCGUAAAGGGCGCGUAGGCGGACAGCUUAGUCAGAGGUGAAAGCCCAGGGCUCAACCUUGGAAUUGCCUUUGAUACUGACUGUCUUGAGUUUGGGAGAGGUGAGUGGAACUCCGAGUGUAGAGGUGAAAUUCGUAGAUAUUCGGAAGAACACCAGUGGCGAAGGCGACAUACUGGUCCAUUACUGACGCUGAGGCUCGAAAGCGUGGGGAGCAAACAGGAUUAGAAACCCGGGUAGUCC